rnacentral:rRNA from 1 species
UACAGAGGUCUCGAGCGUUAGGCGGAAUCACUGGGCUUAAAGCGUGUGUAGGCGGAUCGUUAAGUGCCUUGUGAAAUCCCACGGCUCAACCGUGGAACUGCUUGGCAUACUGGCGGUCUUGAGCAACCUAGGGGCGAGCGGAACAAAUGGUGGAGCGGUGAAAUGCGUAGAUAUCUGGAGGAACACCGGUGGCGAAGGCGGCAUCCUGGACCGGUAUUGACGCUGAGGCGCGAAAGCCAGGGGAGCAAACGGG